rnacentral:rRNA from 1 species
UACGGAGGGUGCAAGCGUUAUCCGGAUUCACUGGGUUUAAAAGGGAGCGCAGGCGGAUUGGUAAGUCAGUGGUGAAAGGCUUAAGCUUAACUUGGGGAACUGCCAUUGAUACUAUCAGUCUUGAAUGUUGUUGAGGUUUUGCGGAAUGGGUCAUGUAGCGGUGAAAUGCAUAGAUAUGACCCGGAACACCUAUUGCGAAGGCAGCAGGCUAAACAAAUAUUGACGCUGAGGCUCGAAAAGCGUGGGGGAUCAAACAGG